GUGCAACACUUCCGCGAUUCGGUAGCCACAGAAAUCCACAGCCAGCGAAAACAGGCAGGAAAGGUUUGAGUAAGAGCGCAUCUGUUGGGACCCGAAAGAUGGUGAACUAUGCCUGAAUAGGGUGAAGCCAGAGGAAACUCUGGUGGAGGCUCGUAGCGAUU
rnacentral:ncRNA from 1 species